rnacentral:rRNA from 1 species
GACGAACGCUGGCGGCGCGCCUAACACAUGCAAGUCGAACGAGCGAGAGAGAGCUUGCUUUCUCGAGCGAGUGGCGAACGGGUGAGUAACGCGUGAGGAACCUGCCUCAAAGAGGGGGACAACAGUUGGAAACGACUGCUAAUACCGCAUAAGCCCACGGUGCCGCAUGGCACAGAGGGAAAAGGAGCAAUCCGCUUUGAGAUGGCCUCGCGUCCGAUUAGCUAGUUGGUGAGGUAAUGGCCCACCAAGGCGACGAUCGGUAGCCGGACUGAGAGGUUGAACGGCCACAUUGGGACUGAGACACGGCCCAGACUCCUACGGGAAGCAGCAGUGGGGAAUAUUGCACAAUGGGGGAAACCCUGAUGCAGCGACGCCGCGUGGAGGAAGAAGGUCUUCGGAUUGUAAACUCCUGUUGUUGGGGAAGAUAAUGACGGUACCCAACAAGGAAGUGACGGCUAACUACGUG